UUGGUGACCAGCGGAGGGAUCAUUACCGAGUUUACAACUCCCAAACCCAAUGUGAACGUUACCAAACUGUUGCCUCGGCGGGAUCUCUGCCCCGGGUGCGUCGCAGCCCCGGACCAAGGCGCCCGCCGGAGGACCAACCAAAACUCUUAUUGUAUACCCCCUCGCGGGUUUUUUACUAUCUGAGCCAUCUCGGCGCCCCUCGUGGGCGUUUCGAAAAUGAAUCAAAACUUUCAACAACGGAUCUCUUGGUUCUGGCAUCGAUGAAGAACGCAGCGAAAUGCGAUAAGUAAUGUGAAUUGCAGAAUUCAGUGAAUCAUCGAAUCUUUGAACGCACAUUGCGCCCGCCAGUAUUCUGGCGGGCAUGCCUGUCCGAGCGUCAUUUCAACCCUCGAACCCCUCCGGGGGGUCGGCGUUGGGGAUCGGCCCUUUACGGGGCCGGCCCCGAAAUACAGUGGCGGUCUCGCCGCAGCCUCUCCUGCGCAGUAGUUUGCACACUCGCAUCGGGAGCGCGGCGCGUCCACAGCCGUUAAACACCCCAAACUUCUGAAAUGUUGACCUCGGAUCAGGUAGGAAUACCCGCUGAACUUAAGCAUAUCAAUAAA
rnacentral:rRNA from 1 species